GCGAGAGUGGCGGAAUUGGCAGACGCACUAGACUUAGGAUCUAGCGGGUAACCCGUGGGGGUUCGAGUCCCCCCUCUCGCA
rfam:Deltaproteobacteria bacterium RIFCSPLOWO2_12_FTLL_57_22 rifcsplowo2_12_scaffold_456, whole genome shotgun sequence.